rnacentral:lncRNA from 1 species
CAAGAGUAAUCACCCCACCACCUGGAACCAUUUAGAUUAAGUAAAUUUACUGAGGCUCCAGACGAAGGUCUUCAGGACUAGACCUUAGUUAUAGAUUAAAAAAAGUUAAUCACUUAUGUCUUUAGAUGAAUGCACACUUACACGUAGACAUAUAAGCUCUAGAAAACUUUCUAAUUUUGAGUUUGUCUGGUGAUAAUUUCCAGGCCUUCUCCCUGUAACUGGUUACAGAAAUAAAAACUCUGUUCCUUCCCAGUUCAUCUGCAUCUUGUUAUUGGGCCGCAAGAAACAGCAGCCUAACCCUCAGUUUGGCCUGGAAACAGAAUGUGGCAUGCCAGCCAGGAGAGACCAGGACGGUGCUGUGUCCAGCAGCCAGAGGCUUGUGACCAGACAGUGUUCAGGAGGAUCCCAGCAGCUGCCAGUGAGAUUUUCCCGGGAACCCUUUUGAAGGGUCCUGUGGGUAAAAAAUGCACAUCUCUUUCACUACUGGGGAAGAACGGAGAUCAAGAGCAGACAUGCUCAAAAGGAGGAAUUAAGCAUGUGGAAGGGAAAGAAAGCUCCAGCUGCCCUGGUUCAUAUGAGCAACAGGACCCAAUCUUUUCAGCUGGGUAAAAUGAAAAUCAGCAGGAGCUGCAUCUUUAUUCUGAUACCUGCUGAUCUCCCACUCAUGAUGUAAUAGUACAGGACACAGCUCAGAAGGUGCCAUCUUUGAAGCAGAGAGGGAGCCCUCACCAGACACCAAAUCUGCUACUGCCUUUGUCUUGGACUCUCCAGCCUCCAGAACUUCUGAUCUGGGUGUUUAAACUGACUACUUCACACUACCUCUCUUAGAAAAGGAAGAACCAAUUUAGAACAAUGUGCUUGGAGAAAUGAAGACUCCCUACGUUCCCUCCGCUCUCUACCUCCCACACACCCACUAACCCCUACUACAGCUAUGCCCCGGUGUCUUCAGGGAGCUCACCCAACAGGAGCAAGAGGACUUCUUUAAGCUGAGACUGCAAAGGUCAGAGACACCACUCAGCAAAGAGCCAGGAGGUGUGCAUUCUAAGCAGCAAAGCGGUUCUCAAUAUUCAGGAAAAGACCAGAUGUGGGGGCUCAUGCCUGUAAUCGAAGCACUCUGGGAGGCCAAGGCGGGAGGAUCCCUUGAGGUCAGGAGUUUGAGGCUGCAGUGAGCUACAAUGGCACCCCUGCACUCCAGCGUGGGUAACAGAGCAAGACUUGUCAUUACAUAAAUAAAUACUCAGGAAGAGAGAAGAAAAUGCCAGUAUGGCUUGAAUUUGGUUUGCUAUGGGGAGAGAGAGCAACGAGAUGAGGUUGGAGAGGUGGGGUUGGCGUCAGAUCUUGUAAGUCUGGCAAGGAGUCCAAGUUUUAUUCCAAGUACAAGAGCAAGUUUAAAUUUAAUGUAAGCAAGGAAUGACAAAUCUGACUUGUUUAGGGAGGCAGGACAUACAGUGGUUAAUAGUCCAAGCUCCAGAAUCAGACGACCUAGAUUUAAAUAUCAUUUCUACCAUUUAUUACAUGGGUGGGUGUAGGCAUAUUAUUUAAAAUCCACAUGUCAUGUUUCUCAUUUAUAAAAGAAAGAUAGCAGCAAUAAUAGCCCAGCAUAGGACUGUUUUAAAAUGAUUUAUUUGCCAAGCGUGGUGACUUAAUCCUCUCAUCGCAGCACUUUGGGAGGCUGAGGUGGGAAGAUGGCUUGAGCCCAGGAGUUUGAGAUCUGCCUGGGCAACAUAGGGGACCUUGUCUCUACAAAAGCAUUGGUAAAUGUUACUUGUCUAUAUUUUUAAAAACUAAUGCAUCCUACUGUGUGGAAAAUGGAUUGAGAGUGAGAGGGUAAGGAAAAAGACCAGCUGAGAAGUUAUUGAAGUGGCCCGAGGAAUAGUUCAUGGGGCUUGGUCUAAGUAAGUGAGGAUAGAGACAAAGAAAAGGAUAUAUAAUAAAGACAUGCUAAUUCAUUAGAUGAGGAAGAAUAAAUAACCAAUGAUGGUUCAUGGGUUUUGGACUGAAGAGAUGCCUUUUACUGAGAUGAGAAAAACUAGGGGUAGAAUUGGCUUAAGAAAAAAAUCAAAAGUUCAGUUUUAUCCAUGUCAUACCUCUUAAAUACUCAAGUGGAAAGGUCAAGAAGGCAAUUAGAUAAAACCAAGUAAAUGUAACUGUAGCUGGCUAGACUUCUUGUAGCAGAGAACAGGACUAGGCUCACCAUGUGAAACUGGGUGAAGAUAGAAAGUGUCAGGAAAAAUUACAAAAGACUUCGAAAUGGAUAAAAAAGAUUAGUGGGUGUCCUGUCUAGCUUUACCAUCCUGGUUAUCUCCAGAGGCUUUGCAACUCUCAAAGACAGUAAAUUCUGAAAAACCGGUAAUAGUGCCAAUGAUUCUUGCUCACAAAAGUGCAAUUGACUUGUGUCUGGUGAAAUGUAAUGGAUUAUGGUAUUGGAGAUAGACCAGUUUUUUAAAUCUGUUUGUAAAUUCAUUUCAACAUUUCUUUAUGCAUAUAAACAUGUGCUUCUUUGAAACAACUGUAACAUCUUACCGGUUCCCUCAUUAGUUAAUGAAUUAAAUAAAAUAUUUGACAAGCAUGGAU